rnacentral:rRNA from 1 species
AUUGAACGCUGGCGGCAGGCCUAACACAUGCAAGUCGAACGAGUGGCGGACGGGUGAGUAAUGCCUAGGAAUCUGCCUGGUAGUGGGGGAUAACGUCCGGAAACGGGCGCUAAUACCGCAUACCAUCGGAUGUGCCCAGAUGGGAUUAGCUAGUAGGUGGGGUAAAGGCUCACCUAGGCGACGAUCCCUAGCUGGUCUGAGAGGAUGACCAGCCACACUGGAACUGAGACACGGCCCAGACUCCUACGUGAGGCAGCAGUGGGGAAUAUUGCACAAUGGGCGCAAGCCUGAUGCAGCCAUGCCGCGUGUAUGAAGAAGGCCUUCGGGUUGUAAAGUACUUUCAGCGGGGAGGCGUUACCCGCAGAAGAAGCACCGGCUAACUCCGUGCCAGCAGCCGCGGUAAUAC